AGAGUUUGAUCCUGGCUCAGAAUGAACGCUGGCGGCGUGCUUAACACAUGCAAGUCGAGCGAGGCCAGGGGGGCAACUCCCUGAGUCGAGCGGCGGACGGGUGAGUAACACGUGGGUAACCUACCCGGAAGUGGGGAAUACCUCGGGGAAACUCGAGCUAAUACCGCAUGACAUCUUCGGGACGAAAGUCCUGACGAUCAAAGCGGGGUCGCAAGAUCUCGCGCUACCGGAUGGGCCCGCGCCCGAUUAGCUAGUUGGUGAGGUAACGGCUCACCAAGGCGACGAUCGGUAACCGGCCUGAGAGGGCGAUCGGUCACACCGGAACUGAGACACGGUCCGGACUCCUACGGGAGGCAGCAGUGGGGAAUCUUGCGCAAUGGGCGAAAGCCUGACGCAGCAACGCCGCGUGGAGGAUGAAGGCCCUUGGGUUGUAAACUCCUGUCGGCUGGGAAGAAAUCGUUCGCGGCUAAUACCCGCGGACGUUGACUGUACCAGCAAAGGAAGCCCCGGCUAACUCUGUGCCAGCAGCCGCGGUAAUACAGAGGGGGCCAGCGUUAUUCGGAAUUAUUGGGCGUAAAGGGCGCGUAGGCGGCCAUGCGUGUCUUCCGUGAAAUCCCUCGGCUUAACCGAGGACGUGCGGAAGAAACUGCAAGGCUCGAGUCCAGAAGAGGGGGGCGGAAUUCCCAGUGUAGCGGUGAAAUGCGUAGAUAUUGGGAGGAACACCGGUGGCGAAGGCGGCCCCCUGGGCUGGUACUGACGCUGAUGCGCGAAAGCGUGGGUAGCAAACGGGAUUAGAUACCCCGGUAGUCCACGCCGUAAACGAUGGGCACUUGGUGUCGCGGGUAUCGACCCCUGCGGUGCCGAAGCUAACGCAUUAAGUGCCCCGCCUGGGGAGUACGGUCGCAAGGCUGAAACUCAAAGGAAUUGACGG
rnacentral:rRNA from 1 species